CCCAGGGUUCCUGCUGCUUCAGUCCCAGCUCAGAUCCGCCUCCCAAGGAACCUCUUGUGUCAGACCUGGUGCUGAGACAGCCAAAGCAUCCGGUCCAGCCCAGGCCAGAGCCAGGAAAUCCUUGUGAUCCGGAAAAUUAGAAACGUGGUCAAGGUCAGGACCUGGAACUGAGCAGGCCCUCGGUGGGCUGUCCCAGGGUGGAGACCCAGGGAGAAGGGGAGGCUCAGCCAAGACUUUCACCCGGGGCAACGAGGGGCAGCCAGCCCUACGGGGUCACCUGCAGGGCUCAGUGGCUGCAGUUAUGAUACUGAAAGGAUCAGAGGAGUCAGAGGAGGGGAAGAAACCCCAUAUCUGGCCAGGCGGAGAGCUCACUGGUUCUGGAGCAAAAUCUUUCGGGACAACUGCAACAGGGCUGGGAGAGGUGAGAGCUCAACAACCUCAAUGGAGGCAGAGAAUCUCACAGCAUCACCAGAGGUACAGAGCGGGGAUGGCCUCCAAGCUGACAUCUCUUGGACUCCGCUUCAUUACCAACCUAUACUGAGAGCCCAUUGGAUGGUUCUUUAGAACACGGGAGAUGAUAGUGAAUUAAAGCCCCCCCCCAAGCAUGGGCUGGUAGAUUUCCAGCCAGGCACCUACUUUGCAGUUCAUGUUAUUCUUGUUCACUCAUCUGUUCAAUCCACAAUUUAUGUUCGUGGCCAUGUGUCCCAGGCACUGUACUCUGGGCUGGGCGUGCAAAGUGGGAAAGACGGCCCCUGCCCUCCGGGAACUCUAGGACCCCCGGGCACCCAGGCAGAAGGAGGCGCAAAGGGAAUCGUGGUGGUGUUAUGGGAGCCGCAGGGUUCAUCAGAGAAGUGUGGAGGCUUCUCCCACAGGGGUUCACCCGGGGACUUAACUUGUCUUCCCUCUCCUGGACCGGUUCUUCUCACUCGACCCCUCUGGUUCAGAUUUGACUUCUCUAUCGGGGGCUGCCUCAGCUUCCAGCUCCUCCACGAAGCAUCUCCUCCUCCAGCUCUCAGCUGUCUCUCUCUUCCCAGCAUUUGCACAGCCAUAGUUACCUGUGGCAUCAAAUUAAGUGCUUUAAGUUCCCAGGCUGGCUGCUCUUCAGGCAGGCGUGUGUUUGUGGGAAAGGUGCACUAUUAAUGGCUCUGAGGCUCUGAAGCUCUGUCCAACUAUGGCUUAAAGGCUGGAGUGCAAUGGUGUGAUCUCGGCUCACUGCCAGCCCUGCCUCUCAGGUUCAAGUGAUUCUCCUGCCUCAGCCUCCCAAGUAGCUGGGACUACAGGUGCGUGCCACCACACCCAGCUAAUUUUUGUGUAUUUUUAGUAGAGAUGGAGUUUCACUAUGUUGGCCCGGCUGGUCUCGAACUCCUGACCUCAAGCAAUCUGCCCACCUGCCUUGGCCUCCCAAAGGGCUGGGAUUACAGGCAUAAGCCACCAUGCCCGGCCUACUGUGGAACUUCUUAUAGCCUUUGAUAUGCUGAUAUGACUGCAGGGGGAAAUGUAAUCUGCAGUGUUUCUCAGACUCAUUUGACCAUGAAACCCAGUUUCUGCCAAGCACCUCCUGCAGCUGGCGUUCCACAGAACACUCUUUGAGAAAUAUUGCGGUGCCUGGUCACCCUUAUGUCAUGGGUAAUGUGGAUGAUACACUAAGUUGGAACUUUGGGUGUAGAGCC